AGCGAACGCUGGCGGCAGGCCUAACACAUGCAAGUCGAACGAACCUUUCGGGGUUAGUGGCGGACGGGUGAGUAACACGUGGGAACGUGCCUUUAGGUUCGGAAUAACUCAGGGAAACUUGUGCUAAUACCGAAUGUGCCCUUCGGGGGAAAGAUUAAUCGCCUUUAGAGCGGCCCGCGUCUGAUUAGCUAGUUGGUUGAGGUAAUGGCUCACCAAGGCGACGAUCAGUAGCUGGUCUGAGAGGAUGAUCAGCCACAUUGGGACUGAGACACGGCCCAAACUCCUACGGGAGGCAGGAGUGGGGAAUCUUGCGCAAUGGGCGAAAGCCUGACGCAGCCAUGCCGCGUGAAUGAUGAAGGUCUUAGGAUUGUAAAAUUCUUUCACCGGGGACGAUAAUGACGGUACCCGGAGAAGAAGCCCCGGCUAACUUCGUG
rnacentral:rRNA from 1 species